GGCGGUCGCCUCCUAAAAGGUAACGGAGGCGUACAAAGGUUUCCUCAAAUCGGUCAGACAUCGAUUGUAGAGCGUAAAGGCAUAUGGAAGCUUAACUGCGAGACCUACAAGUCGAGCAGAGACGAAAGUCGGUCUUAGUGAUCUGGCGGUAUUACGUGGAAAAGCCGCCACUCAACGGAUAAAAGUUACUCUAGGAUAACAGGCUGAUCUCCCCCAAGAGUUCACAUCGACGGGGAGGGUUGGCACCUCGAUGUCGGCUCAUCGCAUCCUGGGGCGGUAG
rnacentral:rRNA from 1 species